GUUAGUACGAGAUCGACUAUGUCGAAUAAAGUUCUAGGUAGAGUUAUGAUAAUGACAUUUUCUAUCUAUAUGUCUUGACCAAAUCACGUGCCAGCAGUCGCGGUAAUACGUGGAAGACUAGUGUUAUUCAUCUUUAAUUGGUUUAAAGGGUACCUAGACGGUCUAUUAAGCCCCUAAAGGGUACUUACGGACUAGAGUUUGAUGAGAGGGGGGAAGUACAAGAGAGUGUAGAGAUGAAAUUCUGUCAUACCUUACUUGGAACAGGCAACGGCGAAAGCAACUCCUUAUGUAAAAACUGACGUUGAAGGACGAAGGCUUGGGACACCAACAGGAUUAGAUACCCCAGCAGUCCUUGCAGACAAUGAUGAAUGUCAUAGAUUGGAAUUAAAUAUCUUUUUUUUUAAGAUAUCUUUUUGUCUAUAAAUGAAAGUGUAAGCAUUCCACCUCAAGAGUAAUGUGGCAACGCAGAAACUGAAAUCAUUAGACCGUUUCUGAAACCAGUAGUGAAGUAUGUUGUUUAAUUUGGUGGCCCGCAAAACACCUUACCACAAUUUGAAUAUUUUUAUAUUUAUAA
rnacentral:rRNA from 1 species